CCUACGGGUGGCAGCAGUGAGGAAUAUUGGUCAAUGGGCGGAAGCCUGAACCAGCCAAGUAGCGUGCAGGAUGACGGCCCUACGGGUUGUAAACUGCUUUUAUACGGGAAUAACGCGCCUUACGUGUAGGGCUUUGCAUGUACCGUAUGAAUAAGGACCGGCUAAUUCCGUGCAAGCAGCCGCGGUAAUAGGGAAGGUCCGGGUGUUAUCCGGAUUUAUUGGGUUUAAAGGGAGCGUAGGCCGCCUGUCAAGCGUGCUGUGAAAUGUCCGGGCUAAACCCGGGCCUUGCAGCGCGAACUGGCGUGCUUGAGUCCGCGGAAAGCAGGCGGAAUUCGUCGUGUAGCGGUGAAAUGCUUAGAUAUGACGAAGAGCCCCGAUUGCGAAGGCAGCUUGCUGCAGCGGAACUGACGCUGAUGCUCGAAAGCGCGGGUAUCGAACAGGAUUAGAUACCCCUGUAGUC
rnacentral:rRNA from 1 species